UGUUAUACAACUGAAGUCAAUUUAUGAUUGGUGUUUGUGAAAAGUGCAGGAAAACAUUUGCAGCUAAAAAUUUGUUUCCAUAACAUCUUUAGAAACAUACAUUUAUAGCAUUGCUAUUAUUUGAUUGACC